rnacentral:rRNA from 1 species
UUUAUCAAAAACAUGGCUUCUUGAUUUAUGAAAUAUAAGAAGUCGAGCCUGCCCAGUGAUUUAUUUAACGGCCGCGGUACCCUGACCGUGCGAAGGUAGCAUAAUAGUUUGCCCUAUAAUUGAGGGCUUGUAUGAAUGGUUUGACAAGAGCAUAGCUGUCUCUUUAUAAUUUAGUAAAAUUUUAUUUUUAGGUGAAGAAGCUUAAAUAUAAUUAAAAGACGAGAAGACCCUAUCGAGCUUAAAAUCAGUUGAUAGAUUAAAUAAUACUAGUAGAAUAAUUAAACUAUUGAAUAUUUUAGUUGGGGCGACUACGGAACAGAAAAAGCUUCCUAGAUUAAAAUGACUGACUUGUAAUGAUCCACUAUUUGUGAUAAAAGGAAAAGCUACCGUAGGGAUAACAGCAUAAUCUUUUUUGAGAGUUCAAAUUGAAAAGAAGGUUUGUGACCUCGAUGUUGGACCAAAAUAUCCUGAAGAUGCAGCAGUCUUUAAGGGUUGGUCUGUUCGACCAUUAAAAUUUUACGUGAUCUGAGUUCAGACCGGCGCAAGCCAGGUCAGUUUCUAUCUUUAAUUUUUAUUUUAAAUUUAGUACGAAAGGAUUAAUUUAAAUUAAGGUUUAUUUAUUAUGAUGUUAUAUAAUGUUUAAUUGAAAUCAUACAUCAGAUUAGCAAAAUUAAUGUACCCGACUUAGAAUCGGCUGAUAUAAGUUAAAAUCUUUUAUCUGAGAGCAUUAUUAUAAAUUGGCAGAUUAAGUGCAUUGGGUUU